rnacentral:rRNA from 1 species
CAUGCUAGUUGUACGAGUUCAGACUCGUAGCAGAUAGCUCAGUAACACGUGGAAAACUACAGCGUAUGGAGCGGGACAACCUCGGGAAACUGAGGCUAAUCCGGCAUACCGCUCUCAGGCUGGAACUGCCGAGAGCUCGAAACGCCCCGGCGCCAUAGGAUGUGGCUGCGGCCGAUUAGGUAGACGGUGGGGUA